rnacentral:rRNA from 1 species
CCUACGGGAGGCAGCAGUGGGGAAUAUUGGACAAUGGGCGAAAGCCUGAUCCAGCAAUGCCGCGUGAGUGAUGAAGGCCUUAGGGUUGUAAAGCUCUUUUACCCGGGAUGAUAAUGACAGUACCGGGAGAAUAAGCUCCGGCUAACUCCGUGCCAGCAGCCGCGGUAAUACGGAGGGAGCUAGCGUUGUUCGGAAUUACUGGGCGUAAAGCGUACGUAGGCGGUUAUUCAAGUCAGAGGUGAAAGCCUGGAGCUCAACUCCAGAACUGCCUUUGAAACUAGGUAGCUAGAAUCUUGGAGAGGUUAGUGGAAUUCCGAGUGUAGAGGUGAAAUUCGUAGAUAUUCGGAAGAACACCAGUGGCGAAGGCGACUAACUGGACAAGUAUUGACGCUGAGGUACGAAAGCGUGGGGAGCAAACAGGAUUAGAUACCCUGGUAGUCCACGCCGUAAACGAUGAUAACUAGCUGUUCGGGCUCUACGAGCUUGAGUGGCGCAGCUAACGCAUUAAGUUAUCCGCCUGGGGAGUACGGUCGCAAGAUUAAAACUUAAAGGAAUUGACGG